UACGUAGGGUGCAAGCGUUGUCCGGAAUUAUUGGGCGUAAAGAGCUCGUAGGCGGUUUGUUGCGUCCGCUGUGAAAGCCCGGGGCUUAACCCCGGGUCGGCAGUGGAUACGGGCAGGCUAGAGGUAGGUAGGGGAGAAUGGAAUUCCCGGUGUAGCGGUGAAAUGCGCAGAUAUCGGGAGGAACACCGGUGGCGAAGGCGGUUCUCUGGGCCUUACCUGACGCUGAGGAGCGAAAGCGUGGGGAGCGAACAGG
rnacentral:rRNA from 1 species